rnacentral:sRNA from 1 species
GUCGUCGUCGUCGUCGUCGUCGUCAUUGUUGUAUUCCAUUUUCAGACCAGGUCUCACAGUGUAGCUCAGGUUGGCCUGCAGACUCCUGCUUUUGGAAUAGAGACUGAGGUAUUUAAUUAACACUUAGCUAUGUAGUCUAUUCCAAACACUAAAUCAAGACUGAGGUUUAUAUCUUAAAAUCUACCUACACUGUCUACAUUGGACUCGUUCCAUUUCCUUUGCCCCGUCCCAAUAAUUAACCUCAAACCAGUGUCUAGAAGUUAUUUCUGGGAGUCCAGGGUCCCUGGAACGAAGCUUUACAAUUUCUUUCUGCUAUUAGAGGUUGACUGCUGGGUAGCAACAUAAGUUCCCAGGACAACCCAUCUAUCAGGAGGACCAGGGUUGAUGUUAGAAUACUCUCAGUUAGCCUUCUAUAUUACUUUUGCGUCUGUGUGACCACAGGCCCUGAGCAUGGCUUAGAGGGAAGAGUUGCUUAUUUUGGUUCAUCAUCUCAGAGGUGUCAAGACACCAUAGCAAGGAGCUUCAGUAGAACACAGUGGAUCAUGUCACUGGAAGCCAGGAAAUAGGAAACAAAGGGCAUACCAAAAGAGGUCAAGGAAAGUUACAGCCAUGAGAGACAUAUCCCUCCGAAAUGUCCACCAUUCGCCUUGUACCAUCUUGAAUAAUGAUAUCCUAAUAGUGUAUCCACCAGGGGACUAAGCAGCUCAUUACAGCAGUGCCCUCAUGUCUUAAAUGUCUGUCAAGAUGCCCUCCCAGACACACCCAGAUGUGUGCUUUACUCAUCUCUUAAGCAGUUCUUCCAUGAACUGUCACAUCUUCCCUGAAAUAAUGUCAGACUUUCCUCAGAGCCUGCUGUAACUUUCUAGAUGUUCUCGAAGCUUACGCUCAGUCCAACAUACCUUCUAAGCAUGCCUUCUAAACAGCAGCUUAUCAUUGGCUCUCCCUGGUCCACUUCUCUGAUAAUCACAGGCCGGCUGCCGGGUGGAGCCCAGCAGCUGGGGAUGUUGAUUAGGCUGCCAGGUUCCAGCCUAAACUGUUGGCAAAGGUACCAGCCUUGGUCCUGAUGCCACUGCUUUUCUUUUUGGGUGUAGUAAGUGAAUGGAAUCCUGUGAGUACCCUCUUGAGUCUACUCAAAGGAAAAGGAGAAAGCUCUCUCUGUCCACAGAGGUGAAUAUGGAUGGCUUUUGAUUGCAUACAUGGAGACAGAUGCAUGUACGUGAAUGGCUUCAUCCCACUCUCCCAGUUGAUACGUCCUGGGAAGGAAAGAGUCAGCAGAUUGGUUGGUGUCCCUGGUGCCAAAGAACGGUGAUAAUAUACCUCCUAAGGCAUUCAGAACGGAGCGGCUGGGCACUUUUCUUUGGGGAAGAUAACCAGUAAGCUUAGUGCAUAACCAACUGUGAUGUGGAGACAUCUAAGGAAGGUAUCAGGAUAGAAGUUCUCAGAAGCAAAGAGACACUUGUUUUGCCUCUUGAUGUAGGCAGAAGAGAAGAACUGUCUGAACAAGCGUGAACUUGAAGACUCUCUGCUCAGAUGCAGAUAGAAUGGGCAGUCAAAUCCAUUGCAGAAGAUGCUGGAGUAUAGAACACCAAGUUAGAGGGAUGGCUCAGUCGUUAAGAGCACUUCAUGAGGACCAGAGUUUGAAUCCCAGCACCCAUGUCCCAAGCCAUCUGUCUCAUAAAAGCUCAGAGGGGCUCAUCAUCGCCACCUUUUGGUCUCUGUGGGCACACAGGAACAUGUGUCAGCACACAUAUGUGUGCGUGUAUUCGCUGACACAUAAAACAAAUAUUUUAAAAAUAUUAAUUCCAUAAAAAGACUUCUCCGAACACUGAGAUGAUUGAGACGUUGCUGCAUGAAAGAAAAAUUGUAAUCAAGUAGAUACAAGCAGGUAGUUAAUGAGCGAGGGUGUGGGCAGUGCCUAUAAAGAUGCAAAAAGUACUUUGGGUGUAUGAGGUCCGGCCCUCCGUUCCUGGUGACUGGGGAUGAUCGCACCUGCUUGUGAGGGUCUGUGGCUACAUCCUGAGAACUGCUGCAGAGCUUACCAUCCUUAGGAUCCUAAGAAGGAACGAAGAGUAUCUUGUCAACCUGAUGUGUCAGAGCUGACAGAGUACAGCCACCAAUGGUCUUCCUUCCAUCUUGUCUGUCUUAUCAGCCCCGUGGUCCCUAAGAGGUGUCUGAGAUGGUACGGAGCAGUCAAGGCACAGCCAGCUAGACAGAGUCAGCAUCUUCCCCCUGAGCUUAGUGAGGGCUCCAACCAUGGGCCAGAUACGGGAAAAGGAGUAGAGGGGCUCAUUAGAGGCUCACUGGGCCAUCCAGGACUUGCUUUCUGUGAACACCAUGCUUGAUACUGUCUGAGAGCAUUUGCAGGGCCCACAGUCUACCCAGGAUGGGGUCAGACAGUAGGGCAAGAGUCAAAGAAUGGCUCUAUUCACUGGGAAGAAAACAUACUAGAAGUCCGAUGUCUUUUAAGAUCACCUAAUGAAUAAAAGAGAGAUUUGGGACUAGAA